UACGUAGGGGGGCGAGCGUUGUCCGGAGUACUGGGCGUAAAGCGCACGCAGGCGGUCUGCUAAGUUUGGAGUGACAGUUGGUGGCUUAACUGCCAAAGUGCUUCGAAAACUGACAGACUUGAGGGCUUCAGAGGGACACGGAAUUCCGGGUGGAGCGGUGAAAUGCGUAGAGAUCGGAAAGAACACCAACGGCGAAAGCACUCUGCUGGGCCGACACUGACACUGAGAGACGAAAGCUAGGGGAGCGAAUGGG
rnacentral:rRNA from 1 species